rnacentral:rRNA from 1 species
AAAUGAAUAGACGGGGGCUCGCACAAGCGGUGGAUCAUGGGGCUUAAUUCGUCACUAAGCGAGGAACCUUACCAAGGCUAGAAAUCAUACUGCACGCCCGGUGAAAGCCGGGAAGCCUUCGAGGGUGUAUGACAGGUGAUGCAUGGCCGUCGUCAGUUCGUGGCUUGAGCUGUUCCCUUAAGUGGGGAAACGAACGCAACCCUCGUUGCCUGUUACAAGUGUCAGGCGAGACUGCUCCCUCACGGGAGAGGAAGGUGAGGAUGACGCCAGGUCAGCAUGUCCCUAGAUGCCUUGGGCUGCACCCGUGAUACAAUGGUUGGUACAACGAGACGCAAUGUGGCGACACGGAGCAAAUCUUAAUAAAACCAACCUCAAUUCGGAUUGAAGUCUGCAACUCGACUUCAUGAAGUCGGAAUCGCUAGUAAUCGUGGAUCAGCAACGCCACGGUGAAUACGUUCCCGAGCCUUGUACACACCGCCCGU